UGGGGGAUAUUGCACAAUGGGCGAAAGCCUGAUGCAGCGACGCCGCGUGGGGGAUGAAGGCCUUCGGGUUGUAAACUUCUUUUGCUCUGAACAAGGCGCACCAUGGGGUGUGUUGAGUGUAGGGGUUGAUUAGCGCCGGCUAACUACGUGCCAGCAGCCGCGGUAAUACGUAGGGCGCGAGCGUUGUCCGGAAUUAUUGGGUGUAAAGGGCUUGUAGGUGGCUGGUUGCGUCUGUCGUUAAAGCUCAUGGCUUAACUGUGGGUUUGCGGUGGGUACGGGCUGGCUUGAGUGCAGUAGGGGAGGCUGGAAGUCCUGGUGUAGCGGUGGAAUGCGCAGAUAUCAGGAGGAAUACCGGUGGCGAAGGCGGGUCUCUGGGCUGUUACUGACACUGAGGAGCGAAAGCAUGGGGAGCGAACAGG
rnacentral:rRNA from 1 species